UACUGUUUGGAAAAUGCUAGCUUUGUUCGAAAUCUCUCAAAAGAACCUUCGGUGAACCUGCUGAAUAUUUGAACCCGAUAGAUCUCUGCAUAAUACCUUUGUACUCCAAAAUCAAUAUCAUACCUUUACUUCAAGCCCCAGUCAGCACAGCAUCCGCCCAAUUGGGCCUGCACUCCCAUUCAGUAUCGACCCUCCCUUCUUGUUUGUCUACAUUCCCGGCGAGCCUGAAAGGAAGGCCCCCAAGAGGUUCUUGACAUCAAGCUGCACGAUCUACCAAGUGAACCCGACAAGCCUGAAGGGGUGGGGGAAAUGCAUGAACAGGUGUACAAGAGGUGUUUUGCAGUUGCCAAGCAUCAGAUUGAGCUUAUGUAUAAGGUCGGGGAGCUUGAUGAGGUACAAGCUUAUCUUCGAUGAAACAUGUGAGUUAAUGAAAACAUACCAUAGAUGCUCUAGAGUAGCCCUAUGUAACCCCAUUGUGAGACGAAAAGCAAGCCAAGAUUGUGGAGCAUCAACAGGGUCCCGAGAAAGGCGUUAUUCCUACUACCAGGAUUCUACCUGCAGUUGCCCAUGCUCAUGUUGAUCAAGAUGAAGUAAUUUGUUAGCUAUUCAAGUGACCAACUGUGGCAUGCAUUAAAACAAAGUCAAAAGUUUGAUGUGAAUGAAAUUUGGUAUUGGCAGAAUAGACGCGUAGAGACGUUGAAAAGGCUGGAUAAUAUGAUGCAGUUGGACAAUGAGAAUGCAAUAGAUUAGAAUCGACGGCAGCCUAGUAGCACGUAUUAGAGAUAG
rnacentral:sRNA from 1 species